AUUGAACGCUGGCGGCAUGCCUUACACAUGCAAGUCGAACGGUAACAGGUCUUCGGAUGCUGACGAGUGGCGAACGGGUGAGUAAUACAUCGGAACGUGCCCGAGAGUGGGGGAUAACGAGGCGAAAGCUUUGCUGAUACCGCAUACGAUCUCAGGAUGAAAGCAGGGGACCGCAAGGCCUUGCGCUCACGGAGCGGCCGAUGGCAGAUUAGGGAGUUGGUGGGAUAAAAGCUUACCAAGCCGACGAUCUGUAGCUGGUCUGAGAGGACGACCAGCCACACUGGGACUGAGACACGGCCCAGACUCCUACGGGAGGCAGCAGUGGGGAAUUUUGGACAAUGGGCGCAAGCCUGAUCCAGCCAUGCCGCGAGCAGGAUGAAGGCCUUCGGGUUGUAAACUGCUUUUGUACGGAACGAAAAGACUCUGGUUAAUACCUGGGGUCCAUGACGGUACCGUAAGAAUAAGCACCGGCUAACUACGUGCCAGCCGCCGCAGUAACAC
rnacentral:rRNA from 1 species